UUCAGGAACUCUUGCUGAAGAAGAAGAAGAGGAAGAUGCUACUCAUGGUGCCAGUGUUGAUCAUAUGGAUGCAAGUAUCAGAAGUGAAUGGACAACAGAUACAGCAAAUUCCUCCAUCCCUGCUCCUACAAGAAGGAGAGAACUUCACCAUGUACUGCAAUUCCUCAAGCACUUUAGCCAGCUUCCAGUGGUAUAAGCAGAGGCCUGGGGGGAGUCCUGUUUUCUUGAUAUUGGUUAGCGGUAGAGAAGUGCAGAAGCAGGAAAGGCUGGCAGCUCAGUUUGGAGAGACUAGAAAGGACAGCUUCCUGCACAUCACGGCUGCCCAGACUGCAGAUGUGGGAACCUAUUUCUGCGCAGGGGCACAGAGCUCUCGAAGCACCUGCCGCCUGUCCCCAAACCUUGCUGUGGGCUCCAGGAGCAGCUCCUCCUCUCUCUUCUCAGAACAGGAGUCAGAGAAAGCUGAAGUUACAGUGCCCAUGAAGAAAUUAAAUUUUAAAUUAAAAAAAUGCCAAGCUCCGAUGGUUUCAUUGGAGAAUUCUACCAAAUGUUUGAAGAAGAAUUGGCAUGAAUUCUACAAACUUUCUUCCAGAAAAUACUAA